ACGCGUUUAUGUCUGCGCCUGUCUCAUGUUAAACACAGGUACAGGCCUAAACUCGAGA
rnacentral:pre_miRNA from 1 species